rnacentral:rRNA from 1 species
AACGAACGCUGGCGGCAUGCCUAACACAUGCAAGUCGAACGAGACCUUCGGGUCUAGUGGCGCACGGGUGCGUAACGCGUGGGAACCUGCCCUUAGGUUCGGAAUAACUCCCCGAAAGGGGUGCUAAUACCGGAUAAUGUCUUCGGACCAAAGAUUUAUCGCCUUUGGAUGGGCCCGCGUUGGAUUAGCUAGUUGGUAGGGUAAAAGCCUACCAAGGCGACGAUCCAUAGCUGGUCUGAGAGGAUGAUCAGCCACACUGGGACUGAGACACGGCCCAGACUCCUACGGGAGGGAGCAGUGGGGAAUAUUGGACAAUGGGGGAAGGCCUGAUGCAGCAAUGCCGGGUGAGUGAUGAAGGCCUUAGGGUUGUAAAGCUCUUUUACCCGGGAUGAUAAUGACAGUACCGGGAGAAUAAGCUCCGGCUAACUCCGUG